rnacentral:rRNA from 1 species
AGAAUCAACGCUGGCGGCGUGCCUCAGACAUGCAAGUCGAACGCGAAAGUCCCCUUCGGGGGACAAGUAGAGUGGCGCACGGGUGAGUAACACGUAGGUAAUCUACCUUCGGAUGGGGAAUAACAACCGGAAACGGUUGCUAAUACCGCAUAAUGCAGCGGCACCUAAUGGUGACAGUUGUUAAAGCGGGGGAUCGAAAGACCUCGCGUCUGAAGAGGGGCCCGCGUCUGAUUAGCUAGUUGGUGAGGUAACGGCUCACCAAGGCUUCGAUCAGUA